GCUCUUGUUCAUAGAGCACAACUAAAGCCUGGUCAAGUAUUGCUUGUUCUUGGCGCAGCUGGUGGUGUUGGUCUGUCAGCUGUACAGAUUGGUAAAGUUUGUGGUGCAGUGGUCAUUGCUGUUGCUAGAGGAGAUGAAAAGGUCAGUUUUCUCCGAUCAUUGGGGGUUGAUCAUGUAGUUGACUUGAGCAAGGAGAAUGUUCUAGAAAACGUGAAGCAUUUCCUGAAGUUGAGAAAUUUGAAA
rnacentral:misc_RNA from 1 species